AGUGAACGCUGGCGGUAGGCCUAACACAUGCAAGUCGAACGGCAGCACAGUAAGAGCUUGCUCUUACGGGUGGCGAGUGGCGGACGGGUGAGGAAUACAUCGGAAUCUACUUUUUCGUGGGGGAUAACGUAGGGAAACUUACGCUAAUACCGCAUACGACCUACGGGUGAAAGCAGGGGAUCUUCGGACCUUGCGCGAUUGAAUGAGCCGAUGUCGGAUUAGCUAGUUGGCGGGGUAAAGGCCCACCAAGGCGACGAUCCGUAGCUGGUCUGAGAGGAUGAUCAGCCACACUGGAACUGAGACACGGUCCAGACCCCUACGGGAGGCAGCAGUGGGGAAUAUUGGACAAUGGGCGCAAGCCUGAUCCAGCCAUACCGCGUGGGUGAAGAAGGCCUUCGGGUUGUAAAGCCCUUUUGUUGGGAAAGAAAAGCGGCAGGUUAAUACCCCGCUGUUCUGACGGUACCCAAAGAAUAAGCACCGGCUAACUUCGUG
rnacentral:rRNA from 1 species